CCUACGGGUGGCAGCAGUGAGGAAUAUUGGUCAAUGGACGAGAGUCUGAACCAGCCAAGUAGCGUGAAGGAUGACUGCCCUAUGGGUUGUAAACUUCUUUUAUAUGGGAAUAAAAUGUUCCACGUGGGGGAUUUUGUAUGUACCAUAUGAAUAAGGAUCGGCUAACUCGGUGCCAGCAGCCGCGGUACUACGGAGGAUCCGAGCGUUAUCCGGAUUUAUUGGGGUGAAAGGGGGAGUAGGUGGAUUGUUAAGUCAGUAGGGAAAUUGUGCGGCUCAACCGUAAAAUUGCAGUUGAAACUGGAAGUCUUGAGUACAGUAUAGGUGGGCGGAAUUCGUGGUGU
rnacentral:rRNA from 1 species